UGGAUUCAAACUCUUGUUCUCUCCA
rnacentral:piRNA from 1 species